UACGAAUGGAGCAAGCGUUGUUCGGAAUAACUGGGCUUAAAGCGUAUGUAGGCGGACCAGAAAGUCAGAAGUGAAAUCCCGAGGCUCAACCUCGGAACUGCUUUUGAAACUCCUGGUCUAGAAUACUGGAGAGGUUGGGAGAAUUCCUAGUGUAGAGGUGAAAUUCGCAGAUAUUAGGAGGAAUACCAGUGGCGUAGGCGCCCAACUGGACAGUUAUUGACGCUCAGAUACGAAAGCGUGGGGAGCAAACAGG
rnacentral:rRNA from 1 species